UACGUAGGGGGCAAGCGUUGUCCGGAAUCAUUGGGCGUAAAGAGCGUGUAGGCGGCCCGGUAAGUCCGCUGUGAAAGUCCAGGGCUCAACCCUGGGAUGCCGGUGGAUACUGUCGGGCUCGAGUCCGGAAGAGGAGUGUGGAAUUCCUGGUGUAGCGGUGAAAUGCGCAGAUAUCAGGAGGAACACCAGCGGCGAAGGCGGCGCUCUGGGCUGGAACUGACGCUGAGGAGCGAAAGCGUGGGGAGCGAACAGG
rnacentral:rRNA from 1 species